ACAUGCAAGUCGAACGAGAAAGGUCUUCGGACCGAGUACAGUGGCGAACGGGUGAGUAACGCGUGAGAAUUUGCCCAUCAGUGGGGGAUACCUUCGGGAAACUGGAGUUAAUACCGCAUGACCUUGUAAGAGAAAAGGCGGCCUCUUUGCUGUCGCUGAUGGAUAAGCUCGCGUACUAUUAGUUAGUUGGUGGGGUAAAGGCCUACCAAGACGAUGAUGGUUAGCCGGCCUGAGAGGGUGAUCGGCCACACUGGGACUGAGAUACGGCCCAGACUCC
rnacentral:rRNA from 1 species